UACAGAGGGGGCAAGCGUUGUUCGGAAUUACUGGGCGUAAAGGGCGCGUAGGCGGCCUGUUAAGUCGAACGUGAAAUCCCUGGGCUCAACCCAGGAACUGCGUCCGAUACUGGCAGGCUUGAAUUCGGGAGAGGGAUGUGGAAUUCCAGGUGUAGCGGUGAAAUGCGUAGAUAUCUGGAGGAACACCGGUGGCGAAGGCGACAUCCUGGACCGGUAUUGACGCUGAGGCGCGAAAGCCAGGGGAGCAAACGGG
rnacentral:rRNA from 1 species